rnacentral:rRNA from 1 species
GACGAACGCUGGCGGCGUGCUUAACACAUGCAAGUCGAACGGAAAGGCCCUGCUUUUGUGGGGUGCUCGAGUGGCGAACGGGUGAGUAACACGUGAGUAGCCUGCCCUUGACUUUGGGAUAACUUCAGGAAACUGGGGCUAAUACCGGAUAGGAUCUCCUGCUGCAUGGUGGGGGUUGGAAAGUUUCGGCGGUUGGGGAUGGACUCGCGGCUUAUCAGCUUGUUGGUGGGGUAGUGGCUUACCAAGGCUUUGACGGGUAGCCGGCCUGAGAGGGUGACCGGCCACAUUGGGACUGAGAUACGGCCCAGACUCCUACGGGAGGCAGCAGUGGGGAAUAUUGCACAAUGGGCGGAAGCCUGAUGCAGCAACGCCGCGUGCGGGAUGACGGCCUUCGGGUUGUAAACCGCUUUCGCCUGUGACGAAGCGUGAGUGACGGUAAUGGGUAAAGAAGCACCGGCUAACUACGUG